CCUUGUGGGAUGGAGCCGUCUAAGGUGAGGCUCGUGAUUGGGACUAAGUCGUAACAAGGUAGCCGUACCGGAAGGUGCGGCUGGAUCACCUCCUUUCUACGGAG
rnacentral:rRNA from 1 species